AUUAAAAACACUCUGAUAUCUGUCGUCCGCUCACUGCCUGCAGAGGAGAGUCGUCUUUCAGACGUUACUCUUCUUCACAUUCACAACGAGAGAUGAGAGGAGCAGCGAUGAGUUUAAUCAGAGCAGUGAGUUGGUUUAUCGUCGUCCUCCACUCUGUGUCAGCGGUUCAGGAUCUCUGGGAUGUGACGUGCUCUUCUGUGUGGAUCUGUGCCCGUAAAGGAUUGACUGUGGAGAUGAGCUGCACCUUCACAUACCCAGAGGGAAUAAACGAGGAAGUUAACACACUUCAGGAAACACUCUUACAUUUAACAUCUUUAACAAACACUAAACACUGAACAAGAGAGUGGUCUGAUA